CACUUUAUGUUUAUGUAACUUACCAAUUCUAAGACGACAAACAACCAAUAGAAUAUAAAGUCUUACCUUUGCAGUAUUCAUUAAUGUCUUAAAGGGAGUUGGGACUUUUUUCAAUGGCCUAUUAUGUCUUGGUUUAUAUUUGCAAGCCUGCAAACAUCUUGAAUAAUGUUUAAUGUCUACUACUAUAGCACGAUCUUGAUCAUAUGUUCAAGAUACGUUUGUCAGAAUAUGUUAAAUAUAAAGCCUUACUAAGCAUAUACAGGGUUUUUGAUCUUUAUAAGGAAUACAGUUUUUUCUCAAGUGCUAUAUACUAAAUGUAUGAUGUGAUUUCCAAGUACAUUUUAUUUCAGAUAAGAAGCUUUCAAGAGAGAUAAAAAUAGUUUUAUGUAAAACCUAACUUUUUACUAGUACUUGGGUGAAAGGUGAAUUUAGGCUAUACAAACAUCUGUAGCCUGAGUUUAUGGUCCUUCUAACUAUUAAUUAGCGGCAAAUACAUAAUGUAAUUUGACCUCUGGAUGUAAGGAGAUUAAGUUUGAAUUCUACUACCAGUGUGGUUAUUUGAAAUUGAACUACCAUGUUUAUAUAGUCUUAAAUAUCAAGCGUGACUUUGCAUGGGUUAUGUAAUAUAACUGCCCACAUUUUCUUGAGAUCAAAAGUACAGACGUACACUCUCGACAGACUAGAAAAAUUGUUUUUAUAGAGCAGUUGUAAUACAAAUCUAACUAUCUUGAUUUCUUUUAUUCUCUCCUUAUCUGCACACACUGUAGAUGUUUUCUAAACACUAUAGUCCUGGUUUUUCUGUUUUUGGCCAUUCCAGGUGGCUUCUACCUAGGAGAGCAUACCCUUUGGCCAAGAGAGCUGGGUGUAUGCCCAGUGUUGGCAGCCUACCUGGCUUAAACACAAACAGUUUUACCAAGCGAUUCUUGCAAACCUAACCAUUUAAGUUGAUCACUUAGAGAACCCAGCCAUUUAGAUGAUUUGAAUUAAGAUGCAAUUUCUGUGUGGUUUAUGAAUAAAAUUACAUCAUUAUCAUUACCAUUAGUAACAGCUCUUGGUUUCAACAGUGCAAAAGAUAAUUUGGCAAAUUACAAAGGAAAUGGAAGACGUUCAAGGUAAGGUUGAGAUGGAACUAGGAUUAAAAUGUUUUACAGCACGAACAAACACACUCUGUAAUCAUCUGUAUAGCCAAUUAAAGUUUUAAAAAUAUGUUCACACACACAGAGCUAAGGGGAUUAAGGAUGUGCCCUUGGAGCAGAUCAGGUGACAUUUAGUUGGAAAGGCAUCACCAAGUAGAUGAACACUCAGUUCUCAAGUACUGAAGGAUAUUGACUUUUCCUGCCCUAAGUCUUUUAUACUUAGAAUCCUGUGCUUGGAAAGGAUGGAGCAAACCCAUAGCUCAAUGCUCAUAUUUCCACACUGGCAUGAAAAUCCAAGAAUUAUAGGAUGUCACUUAUUUAUACACAGGUUAAAAUUAGGGCUAUGGUGGGUGCCAAAUAUUCAUGUGUUUCUAAGGCUAUAUUAUAGUUGAAAAUGUCUAAAACCUCACCCUCAUUAACUAUUCUAAAUAUCUAUGUUGCCUGCCUCAUACCAACAGCCUCUCUCCAGCUUUAGCACAUGUAGCAAUCUGUUAUAGGACAGUGGGGUCACCUGAGGGCCUGAAGCCUUGGGGAAGAUUCAUCCUUGCCCAAAAGGCUCAGUGAUUUCUGCUCACAAUGACUCCCAAAUCUGUCAUAUCUGCUGCUUACUAGACAUCCUACUGACUACCUCGUGUCAGUUUAGUGCCUUCAAGACAUAGAUGCCGAAAUGGGGCUAAGCAUGUAACGGAUUUAUUGGGGGAAAUGUUUGUGGAGAAAAAGGGAAAAACAGAAGUAGGCAAGGAGAGCCUACAGAGCCCAACGUGGGUCCAGUGCACGUGAGAGGAGACAGCGAAGUCAGAUUGGGUGGGAAGAGUCUCCACCUGCAACACAGUUCUGAGAAAGUCUCGGGUGGAUCGAUGAAAAUCCCUGAGCAGGAGUUGCCCACUAGAGGAGUGUCCUAAAUGGAACAGGAACCGGCUGGCUUGAGCAGGCAGCUCCAGGAGGAGCAUGGUUUCCCAGGAGCCACAGGGGCAGCAGUGGGCAGUGUUGGGCAACGCUGCUCCUUGUGGCUGGUUUUCUUAAUUUGAGUGGCACACCCAGAGUAAUAGGUAUUGAAAAUAAUUUUCCUUUGCUGGUUUGCACCUCCACCUAUAUUUUCCAUCUCAGUCAAUGGUGACAUCAUUCUGCAGGCUGCCCAGAAACCUGGAAUCAUGCUCAUUUUCUCCCUUUCCUUCACGCCCUUCAUCGUGACAUAUCAUUGAUUUUACAUCCCUGAUAGGUUUCCCUACCACUUGCUCCAUUUCCACCAUCACUUGCCUUGAUUCAGGUCUUCAUUAUCUCUGCUCCUGACUGCUGUUAACCGCCUUCUAAUUGGCUGUCUCGCUCUGGGCCAACUCACUUUCUUUACCCUCUCUAGUUCUUUUUCCACACUGUAACCUGUACUGCAUGAUCUUUUAAAAAUCCAAAUCUCGUCACAUUUGUCUGCUGCUGAAAAUUCUUCAGUGCCUCAUUAUUUCCUAUAGGAGAAAAUCAAGACUUCUUAGCAUGGCAUAAUGUGUUUUAUCUUGUGCUACUAUCCUCAUUUAUUCUUUAUUCUGGCUGUCAGGGUUUCCCAAGUUGGAGAAUUGGUCUGGAAACUUUUUGCCAGUGGGCUUUUGCACGUGUUAUUUCCUAUGUUUGACAGGUCUUCCUUUCUUUGAUUUGACUGACAAGCUCAUAAUUAGGAAGGCUCAGAUAAUUCUUUCCUGAGCUCUCUGAGAGGUGGAACUUUCUAUUUUUGAGUUGCCUACUGAAGCUUUUGUUAUAGCACUUCUACUGAGCCUCUGUUACAGCGCUUGGUCUGCCUUCUAAUUCAUAGUGCGCAGGUGCUUAAUAAAUGAGUGAAUGAACGAAUUAGCUAUAACCUAAACCUAUUGGUUGACUUAAAUUUGCUCAUUAGCAAUGAUCUUGUAUUUCUGAUCAUCAGUCAGUUGACUCCCUUCAGGACCUAAUAUGUUCUGCUCAAGGUAUCACAUUUAAAAUUUUCAGGAGCAUCUCCAUAAAUCUUUGCAGAGUUACAUUAAUGGGUAAAAUGGCUUUUAUAAACAAUAUUGCAUUAAUACAUAUGGAAAUUUAUGUGAAUAAUUCUAUCACUGUUUUAAGAAACCUAUUGAACUAGAGUCCAAAGCAAUAUAUUUAAUAUACUAGUUGGAGUACUAUAGCACAUAUAAUUACUAAUAUGAGAAUAAUUUAACACAUUUUAAAUAUUUUAAAAGUAACAUGAAUAAUUGUCUUCCAGAUAAGACUAACAUGUUUUCUAUGUGUUGAAUAAAAAUAGCUCUUGAAUA